rnacentral:rRNA from 1 species
GACGAACGCUGGCGGCGUGCUUAACACAUGCGAGUCGAACGGAAAGGCCCUGCUUGCAGGGUACUCGAGUGGCGAACGGGUGAGUAACACGUGGGUGAUCUGCCCUGCACUUCGGGAUAAGCCUGGGAAACUGGGUCUAAUACCGGAUAGGAGCCAUUUUUAGUGUGAUGGUUGGAAAGUUUUUUCGGUGUAGGAUGAGCUUGCGGCCUAUCAGCUUGUUGGUGGGGUAAUGGCCUACCAAGGCGGCGACGGGUAGCCGGCCUGGGAGGGUGGACGGCCACAUUGGGACUGAGAUACGGCCCAGACUCCUACGGGAGGCAGCAGUGGGGAAUAUUGCACAAUGGGCGCAAGCCUGAUGCAGCGACGCCGCGUGGGGGAUGACGGCCUUCGGGUUGUAAACUCCUUUCGCUAGGGACGAAGCUUUUUGUGACGGUACCUAGAUAAGAAGCACCGGCUAACUACGUG